GAUGAAGAACGUAGCGAAAUGCGAUACGUAAUGUGAAUUGCAGAAUUCAGUGAAUCAUCGAAUCUUUGAACGCAUAUUGCGCUCUUUGGUAUUCCGAAGAGCAUGCUUGUUUGAGUAUCAGUAAACACCUCAACCUCUUCUUGAUUUUUCAAAAGGAGGGUGGACUUGAGCUAUCCCAACAACCUUUACCGGUCGGCGGGCGGCUUGAAAUGCAGGUGCAGCUGGACUUAUAUCUGAGCUAAAAGCAUAUCUAUUUAGUCCUCGUCAAACAGGAUUAUUACUUUUGCUGCAGCUAACAUAAAGGAUAAUUGUCCUCUUUGCUGACUGAUGCAGGAUUUUACGACACUUUAUGUGUUGUUCAACUCGAUCUCAAAUCAAGUAAGACUACCCGCUGAACUUAAGCAUAUCAAUAAGCGGAGGA
rnacentral:misc_RNA from 1 species